UUCUAAUAGAGAUAAAAUAAUUUAUUUAAUUUUCAAAAUGUCCACUCAAAAAACAGGGCAAAACUAUGUUGCAACAGUGGUAUGGUACCACAGUUGCAACCGGCUAUUGGAUCUAUAGUUGUAUACUUGUAUUAGCAAGAUCUAAUGGCUGAAAGCAACAGUGGUACAGUACCACUGUUGCAACAUAGUUGGACCCCAAAAAACAACGAAACAAUAACAAAAUAUUUAAAAAAAACUUAUGAUAUUAAAUAAAUAUUUAUAACCAUUAGAUAAAUUAUACUAAACAGACAUUAACAUAUAAUUUUUUAUUUUGAUCAAUUAUCUUAUCUCAAAAGGUAUCGAAAGAACAAAUACAAAUGCCACCCCCAGUCAAAUUACUAUUUGUUCAAAACCUUGAUCAUUAUAAAUUCCACUUUCCGUUACAAGUUCGCACUUUUUCAUUACACCUCAUUUAAUUUUUGUCAUAAACUUCAAAUUUUAGUUUUAAAAAUGUCAAGAAACGGAAUCGCCCUCCCUCUCUAAACAUACGCCUAAUCUUGCACAAAAAGACACCAAAAUUCAACCGAAUUUGCCAGGAAAGAAAUAUAACAUUUCGAUCGUUGACAAUGAAGGCAAAUAAAAACUAGAAGUUUAAUAGUUCUGCGUGAUUAAUUUUGGCGGGUCAAGUCACUGGAUUAGUUUAGAAAUACCAGAAGGGAAGACUUGCUGAAAGUGACAGGCCGGCUUUUAUGUCUAACACAUUCUUUCCAGGUCGUUUCCGAAACAGACCUUGCUUGGGAAAUAUGAAUUAAGAAAUUACCAUUCUUGAAACAGUUUAGGAUUUGAUCUGCGAACGAAGUGUUGGGUGACUUUGCUCGCAAUGACAACCACAGAUUCAACACCAUUAAGGGUGCGUUUGGAAUUGAGGUUGGACAAUUGUAACUUAAAAAUAUAACAUUAAAGUAUUUAGUAAACACUAAUUGUUGUAGUUUAAAAAUUAUGUUGAUAUGAUUUUUCACUUGUAUACUAGAAAAUGUAU
rnacentral:lncRNA from 1 species